GUGUAUAUAUUUACAUAUUUUUGUUCCCUAAAUUUAGUCUUAUUGUCGUCUUCUAUGCGUUAUUUUAUAAUAUUUAUCGACUUUUAUUAUUAAUGAGUUAUUUAUGUCUAUAUUAUAUUAUAGUGAUUAAGUACCUUAAAUAGUGUGUUAUUUUUAUAUAGCUUCACUUUGCUAAAGGAGGAGAACAAAACAAAGAAGCAAAGUAGUGCAAGUAUAUUACAAAGAGAAGACUACACGUGAAGCAAAUAAAAGGAAAACAAAAGAAAAAGGAGUAAACUUACUCCAUCUUCACUAUUUCACGAGAAAACCAAAGAAAGAGAGUUCUUUGUUUUUCAAGUUUACAUAAUUCACAUCAAGAAUCUCCAAGAUACAAAACAAGGUAAUUAUGGAAUUAUGGAGCAAAUCAGAAAUCAAAUCUUUUACUCUACAAGUAAUUUCCAAAAAUUUGAUAAUUGGGGAUUUCUCAAUCGGGUAUAUAAAUCCCUAAUUUCAAUCGCUAGAAAACAUGCAAGCAUUGUCUGAUUUUGGGUAAAGAGAAACGAGGGAGAAUUGGAGUAAAUUAGCAGUUGGGCUGCAAUUGGAGGUAGGUGAACAACAAGGAGACGACAGUUUCGAGUACGAGUGCCGGCAGAAAUUCGUCGAGUAUUGAUACAUGAACACACGCUUACGACGUGAACGAUUGUUGUUUGAUCCAGAAAUAGAGCGGACAGCCAGAAAAACAAGGAAAGAAUUCCUAGAAAGACAACGAGAAGAACGUCUUUAUCUUGAGAACUUAUUCAAAGACGAAGAAGAGAUGGGUGAUGAAAGAACCUUGAAGGAGCUAACUGCACCUAAACUGGAUGAUGAACCACUUGGCAUUGUUUUUCCAACCUUGGAGAAACCUCUAAAGUUAAACUCAGGUUUUCUCAACCUUUUACCAAAAUUCUAUGGCCGUGGAGGUGAGGAUCCCAAUCGAUUUCUUAAAGAAUUUUUGGUUGUGUGUUCUUCUAUGAAACCAGAAGGUAUUGAUCCUAAUCAUGUCAAAUUGCAUUCCUUUCCAUUUUCAUUGUAUGAUAUAGCUAAAGAUUGGUUGUAUUCCCUUCCUCCUGGAUCAAUUACUACGUGGGAUGCACUACAAAAAGCUUUUCUAGAAAAUUUCUUCCCUACUAGUAGAAUUGGAUCCAUUAGGAAGGAGAUUUGUGGUGUCAAACAACAUUCUAAUGAGUCAUUAUAUGAAUAUUGGGAACGUUUUAAGAGACUUUGUGCUUCUUGUCCCCAACAUCAAAUUAGUGACCAACUUCUUAUCCAAUAUUUUUAUGAGGGUAUUUUGGGUAAUGAUAAAAAUAUGAUUGAUGCGGCUAGUGGGGUGCUUUAGUUGAUAAAACACCUACACAAGCUAGACAAUUAAUUAGUAACAUGGCCCAAAAUGCUCGACAAUUUGGCUCACGUAACGAUGUGAAAACAGUUAAUGAAAUUGACUUAACUUCUGUUAAAAGUCAGUUACAGGAUAAUGCACAACAAAUAGCCACCCUCACUACAUUGAUGUCUAAGUUUGUUGGGAAUGAAUCUAAGGCUAAAGUUUGUGGUAUUUGUUUUGAUUUUUCUCACAAUACUGAUGCUUGUCCUACUGUGCAAUUUGAAAAUGUGAAUGCAUUAGGAGGUUUUUCUGGUCAACCCCAAAGAAAGUAUGACCCCUUUUCACCAACUUAUAACGAAGGUUGGAGAGACCAUCCGAACUUAAGAUAUGAACCUAAACCUCAGUUUACUCAAGCUAAUCCUCGACCUUUUGUUCAUCACAACCCUCAAGCUCAACCUUCUAGCCUUUCCUUAGAAGACUUAGUGAAGCAACUUACCACCCAAAUUGGCCAAGUACAUAAUCAGAAUGUUGAGUAUCAAAAGAAAACUGAUUCCCAUCUCCAACAACUUGACACCCAGAUUGGUCAAAUUUGUACUUCUUUAAGUAAUAUAGAAAAUCAUGUGUCAGGCAAACUACCAUCUUAACCUUUGCAGAAUCCAAGUAAACAAGUUAAUGCAAUCUCACUAGAGAGAAGAACCACAAUGGAUGACCCUUUAGGAAAUUUGAAUGAACAUGAAGAUAAUGAAAUGCAGGGAAAUAGAAUUCCAUUAUUAGAUGCAAUAAAGGUGGUUCCUAAAUAUAGUAAACUCUUGAAUGAAUUUCUCACUACAUCUAACAAACACAAAGGAGAAGAACUUUUGAGACCUCUUAUUAUACCACCCCCAAAAUGUGAAGACCCUGGAUCAUUCUCAAUUCCGUGUAGGAUAGGUGAGACUAUUUUUCGACAAUGUGUGUUAGAUUUAGGAUCUACAGUAAAUGUUUUGCCCUUCUCUUUAUAUGACAUGUAUAAGAUGGGACCAUUAAAGACUUGUAGUGAGAUACUUACUAUGGCUGAUGGUAGUAGUGUUUGUUCUGUCGGAUUAUUAGAGAACAAUCUCGUUCAAGUCAAGCACAUGUGCUUUCUGGUUGAUUUUAUUGUUAUCAAUGUAAUGCAUAAUUAUGAGAUUUUAUUAGGGAGACCAUUCCUAAAGACUUCAAAAGCAUUAAUUGAUGUUGCUCAUGAGUGUGUCACUCUUCAGAGUAAUGGAGAGAAACUGAAUUUAAAUGUAUUUGAGCAGGAUGGUUCUGAUAUAGAGUCAGGUGCUACUAAUUAUGUUGCUUAUUAUCUUGCACAGCUUGGACCGGAAAAUUUGGAGAUCUUAUUAGAUGAGAUGGUGAAUGAUGUAGGACUAGAGCACAUGUUGAUGAAUGCUCUAAAUGAAAUCAAUUUGUUAGAUUGAAGAUAGAAAGAUGUCGGGCUAACGACGUAAACUAAAGGCGCUACUUGGGAGGCAACCCAUGACUGUUCCGUUUUCUUUUAUAUAUUCACUUUUGCAAAAAAAAAAUUUCUUUUCUUAUUUUCUUUCUUUUAUUUUCUUUCCUUCUUCAUAUUCAUAUAAUUUCUUUAUAUCUUAAUGUUAGAUUAUGCUGAUGUCUCCCUCUUGCUAUGGGCCUCACUAAACAACCAACACACUAUUGACAGUAGUACUACAGUACAGUACCAAGGACAUUGCCACCUGCUCCCAUCUUCGUCACAAAACCAGCUAAGUUCCUCUUACUUUUCUUUUCUUUUUGUUUCAUUGGGGACAAUGAAAAAUGUAAGUGUGGGGGAGAUGCAUGCUUCUUCGAUUGUGUGGUGUAGUUGGUUUUGUGUAGAAAAAGAAGUAAAAAUAACCUACUUUGAGAGGACAUGCUGUCAAAAUUUAUGAGUUAGAGUAGUAUAAGUUAUCUUUCUAUUGCAUUUGCAUAGUAGUUUUAUUAUUGUUUGUCUUUGUUUUUUUUUUACAAUUGUUGCAUUUUAUUUAGGAUUUCCACCUCUUGAUUUCCUAAGGAAUGACGCUUAGAAAGUUGAAGUUGAUAAGAAACUCUAAUCUAACUUGUUUUUGAAAUAACAUAAAAAAUUUCGAAAUAAACGAUUUUGGAAUUGUUAUAUAAUUGGAAUAUAAGAGUCGAACUUGAGAGAUUCAUAAUAUAAUUGAAGAAAAAAAAAGUAUCUUGCUUCUCUUAAAUAAUCUGGCUAGAUAACUAGACCAAAACCUUGUGAGCUUUUGAGCCUAUUAGACUGACACAUCUGCAUCAGUCUCAUUAUUUUCUUUUUUGUGUGAUAGUUCCUCAAUGAAGUGUGGCUCUUGAACUUGACUUGGUACUCUUUGAUACUUUUGUGAUAAAUGUUAUGAAGAAAUGAUUUAGGCGUUCUUUUCAUAUAUAUUUUAACCUAAGAGAUCUUCUUUCAAAUAAUAUAUCCCGUACUUUAGCCCUUGUGAGCCUUAAAAUCCUUAUUUCUUUACUAACCAUACAUUACAAACAUGCGGCCUCCUACAUAUUCUACCCAAGCUUAGCUAAAGGGGGUUAUUAAGUUGAGUUUGUACUGCAAAUUUUUGUUAUGAUAUUGUGAAAGGAAAAGGGAAGAAAAAUAGGGGUUAUGACAUUGAAAAAAAAAAAAAGUUUGAAGAAGAAAAAUAGAAGAAUAUAUUGGUGAAAAUGCUAUGAAUUAUAUGUGAAAUUGUUGCAAUUGCAUUAUUAAUUGUGGUUGAGGAUAAGGUGAUAUAAAAGAAAUUUAUGUAGUUGGAGUAUGAUGUUCAAUGUAUAAAAGGAGUUUGUUGUGACUGAAAUAUCUUAAGUCGUGUAUUUUUGCUCCCUUUAGCUUGGCUUCUUUUUAACUCCACAUUCCUAAAUAUUAUCCCUACCUUUUAAACCUUAGCCACGUUACAACCUAUUAAAAGACCUUUUGAUCUUUAUGCAUUAUGGCACUACCAAGUGGAGAAUUGAGACGAUAGUCAAGUUUACAGAAAUAUACUUCAUUUUGAGUCGACUCGGUUAUAGGUUUGAGUGAAUAUUAUUUUAACCCCAAACACAUGAGAGUUGAGUGUUUUAUUUAUACCUGUGAGGGUCUAUUUAUUGAACAUGAUACACAUACAUUUGUGGAUUCAUGCUAGAUAUUUUUGAGUUGUAAAGAUAACAAUUAGUUCAUGAAAUAUUAUGAGAUUUGAUAGUUCGAUUGUUUAAACACUAAGAAUAUGACAUCUCCAUUAACAUUUCUCAAUGUUUUUCUAACUAACUUUAAAAUGUUUUAGUUUCUUAUAGUGUGCUUAUCUAAUAUUGUUAUUUCCGACAAAGAAAACUGAGGUAGUAUAUUAGGUCUUACAUUUAGUUUCUUUAUUAAUGUCAUUAUAAUAUCAAUAUAUGCUGGUUACUUUCGAAAUCUAUGUUAAUAAGGCUUUGUGGGUGUGCCAUCUGAAAAUCCUCAUGAGACCUUACUCGUCCACUAGGGUACCCUAGGGGUUUAAAGGGCUUGUUGCACAUGCUAAGUGCAAUCGUGAUUCCUACGACAAUGAGUUAGGUUUAUUGCUUUCCUAGUAUAUUUUAAUUUUUAUUUUAGUAGUAUUUUGAUCGAGGGCGACCAAAAGCUAAGUGUGGAGGAAUUUGAUAAGUGUAUAUAUUUACAUAUUUUUGUUCCCUAAAUUUAGUCUUAUUGUCGUCUUCUAUGCGUUAUUUUAUAAUAUUUAUCGACUCUUAUUAUUAAUGAGUUAUUUAUGUCUAUAUUAUAUUAUAGUGAUUAUGUACCUUAAAUAGUGUGUUAUUUUUAUAUAGCUUUACUUUGCUAAAGGAGGAGAACAAAACAAAGAAGCAAAGUAGUGCAAGUAUAUUACAAAGAAAAGACUACACGUGAAGCAAAUAAAAGGAAAACAAAAGAAAAAGGAGUAAACUUACUCCAUCUUCACUAUUUCACGAGAAAACCAAAGAAAGAGAGUUCUUUGUUUUUCAAGUUUACAUAAUUCACAUCAAGAAUCUCCAAGAUACGAAACAAGGUAAUUAUGGAAUUAUGGAGCAAAUCAGAAAUCACAUCUUUUUCUCUACAAGUAAUUUCCAAAAAUUUGAUAAUUGGGGAUUUCUUAAUCGGGUAUAUAAAUCCCUAAUUUCUACCGCAAGAAAACAUGCAAGCAUUGUCUGAUUUUGGGUAAAGAGAAACGAGGGAGAAUUGGAGUAAAUUAGCAGUUGGGCUACAAUUGGAGGGAGGUGAACAGCAACGAGACGACAGUUUCGAGUAUGAGUGCCGGCAGAAAUUCGUCGAGUAUUGAGUGAUACUCUUCUCUUCUCUUGUAUUACUUUGAUUUGCUAUAUUAGUUUCAAUUCAAUGAACUUGAAUCUGGUUUAAACUUAAAUUUUCUCAUGAUUUUUGGGUUGAUUAUUGAACAUAUAGAUUAUUUGAUAUUCAAUUUUACAUCGUUUUAAAUGUCGUA